GUGGGGAAUAUUGGACAAUGGGCGAAAGCCUGAUCCAGCCAUGCCGCGUGUGUGAAGAAGGUCUUCGGAUUGUAAAGCACUUUAAGUUGGGAGGAAGGGCAGUAAGUUAAUACCUUGCUGUUUUGACGUUACCGACAGAAUAAGCACCGGCUAACUACGUGCCAGCAGCCGCGGUAAUACGUAGGGUGCAAGCGUUAAUCGGAAUUACUGGGCGUAAAGCGUGCGCAGGCGGUUUUGUAAGACAGGCGUGAAAUCCCCGGGCUCAACCUGGGAACUGCCUCCAAAACUGCAUGACUAGAGUACGGUAGAGGGUAGUGGAAUUUCCUGUGUAGCGGUGAAAUGCGUAGAUAUAGGAAGGAACACCAGUGGCGAAGGCGACUACCUGGACUGAUACUGACACUGAGGUGCGAAAGCGUGGGGAGCAAACAGGAUUAGAUACCCCGGUAGUCC
rnacentral:rRNA from 1 species